ensembl:lncRNA
GUUACAAGCAAAUAUUUGAACACACAAUGAUCUGUAAAGUUUGUGUUUGGGAUCUCAGUAUUGCUAAAAAUAUCCCCUCAUGACUUGAGUGAUGUCUGUGGAUGAUUAGUGUGUGUUUGAAGAGGUGAAUCACUGCUGCCUUCCUCACAUUGCUGGAGAGAUUCUCAUCACAAUAUCUCUCAUUAUCGUCGAGCGUUCCCACGAUCAGAUGCUCUCUGGCAUUUUUUUCUCCUUUCAGCGUUGUCAGGUAUGUGUAUCACAUGCUAAUGAAUGAGUGCCAUCUGUCAACGCUGACUGCUGCCGUCCAUGUGCCUUUCUUUAGAUGAAAACAAGGGAUUCUGCAUUCCUUCAGUCUCUGAUGGGUGUCACACUUCAGCAGGAGCUUGUUUGGAUGAAUCUGUGUCUGUUACUGCAGUGCCAAAAAGAACAGACGUGAGUGGAAAGCAAGAGGCGCAUGUGAAGCUGGUGUCUCCUCAGGCCUUUGAAUCCUCAGACAGACACUGAGUUCAGGAGCUCCGGGGGUCUUCAGAGUCUCACAGCUCCUGAUGACAGAUAAUCAUCUGAGACUCUAACAGAGCCUGCGGGGGGCCAGAUAACAUCACAGGAUCAAAGCAGAAAUAUGAAGAGCAUAUGGCUACGAAACUACAUGAGGGUGAGGUCAAUGAGUGUAACCGCCGGAAGUCAUUUCGUAAGAUUUCAUCAAAAGCCUGAUCUCGUGCAAGAGCUGCUGCAUCAGCCGUCCUCCUCCAGACUUUGAGCUGCUUUAAAUGACUUUAUCACCACAGCAACUGUGUUUCCAAACACACACACAUUCUGGAGGAGGUAAAUGUGGCCACACUGGGCCAAACAUCUACCUGACUGCGCACUUUCACACACUAACAUUACACCUGGUAUUUGUCAUCGUAAACUUGCGAAAUGCCAGUUGACCUGUGAAAUGAUAGUGCUGAGAAAAUUCAUGGAAAAAGCCACGGAUACUUGAAAGAGAUGAAUCAUGUGCCAGCUGGACUAAAUAUUUGGACGUUACUAUUGCAGCUAUCGGUAUUAAAUAUCUACUUAUGUCAGGCCAAAACUUAGCCAACAAAAAAUACAUUUUGCUAACAUUCGA